GAUGAACGCUGGCGGCGUGCCUAAUACAUGCAAGUCGAGCGAACAGACGAGGAGCUUGCUCCUUCGACGUUAGCGGCGGACGGGUGAGUAACACGUAGGUAACCUACCUAUAAGACUGGGAUAACUUCGGGAAACCGGAGCUAAUACCGGAUAAUAUUUCGAACCGCAUGGUUCGAUAGUGAAAGAUGGCUUUGCUAUCACUUAUAGAUGGACCUGCGCCGUAUUAGCUAGUUGGUAAGGUAACGGCUUACCAAGGCAACGAUACGUAGCCGACCUGAGAGGGUGAUCGGCCACACGGGAACUGAGACACGGUCCAGACUCCUACGGGAGGAAGCAGUAGGGAAUCUUCCGCAAUGGGCGAAAGCCUGACGGAGCAACGCCGCGUGAGUGAUGAAGGUCUUCGGAUCGUAAAACUCUGUUAUUAGGGAAGAACAAACGUGUAAGUAACUGUGCACGUCUUGACGGUACCUAAUCAGAAAGCCACGGCUAACUACGUG
rnacentral:rRNA from 1 species